UUAAGCUGCCUGAUGGGAGCCAAUGAAGGCCCUCGCUCCCAUUGGUGGCUAUGUCAGGGGAAAAUGUAGGUAUUAUUAAAGACCAAUCUCAUCCUCCCUCUCAUUUUACUAGGCUGCUUUCUGCAUUGGGUAUUAAUGAGUCAUAUUACCUUCGAGAAAACAAAACAAAAAACCAGCCUGGCUAAUUUCAAAACCUGUCGUUUGAGAAAUAAUCUGUGAAGACCUUCUGACUGGAGAUGGAGGAAGGAAGGCACAUUUGCUCAGCAUUAGAUACUUUAGAUAUACAUUCAUAAAGGUUGUAAACAGCCUCGCUGUUGAACCCUGUGGCCUCAGUCUCCAUGUAAACCAGCUGAGCUUUUUUUGUAGGUAGCAAGGCCCUGCAGCAGGCAACUGAGAACAGUUGAGUUAAGAGAAUCCUUAUCACCUGGCAAAGGGACCUCUUCCAUCUCUGGAUCUUCUGGAUAUCAGGAGACUUGCUUUCAUGGGAAGUGGCUAAAAUAGGGGCUGUUUUUCAGCUGGAUCAGUUCUCUGAUCUGGUUCACCAUGUGGCUGCACAAACAUUUAUGAUGGCACAGUACAACAGAUGAUCUGGGUGAAGAUGUGGGAGUGGGAGAAAGCAGGGACUGCUUCAUUGGAAAUUUUGCAUGCUUGAAAGAAUACCAAAUUGCAGCUCAAGGAAGAAAGGAUUUGAAGCAGGAUGACACAUCGGAGAAGAGGGUUGAAGGAUAUGCCUAAUUCCCCAGAAACGAAAACUUGGCUUAAAAUGCCAAAUGGUGCAAUUACAGGAGGUGAAGAUCAGCCGGCACAGCCACUUCCAAAUAAUGCCAUCUGCAGAAAAAGGCAAUGCACUUUUCAACAUGACUGUGAAGAGGAAUUGCCAUUCUCUAGCCUUGCUCAGACAGAACACGUGCUUCAUGAGAAUGUCUGUCUCAUGAAGGUGCUUGUUCAGGAGUGGUAGUGGAAGCCCAACUCCAAUCCAUGUUGGUAUUUAUGGUCCGAAACAUCAGUCCUACCCACAAUAGGAGAUUUCACCACAAAAUAUCUAACUGGUUGCCCUAGUGUAGAUAGGUGGAUCUCGGGCACCUUCUGCUGCUUUUGCCACAGAGGUGAUAGUUGUGGUUGCAGUGUCUUCGCCAUUCAUGCCAAAGAGUUGCUUUUGCAAGAGAUACUCCUCCAGAUCUACUGUGUAAACAGAACUGAAAGGUAAACCAUUGGUAUCAUUUGUGCCAUCUAUAUUCUCAGUAUCUCCCUGAAUCCUCAUCCUAGAGGAAGCGAUGUUUAAC
rnacentral:lncRNA from 1 species